GUGCAGGUAUGUAAACUAGAGGCUGCUAACGGUCAAACCACAGGGUUGAAACAAAGCACACAAAUUUCCCAGGCAAUUUAUUCAGGAUUUAGCAAACAUAUAGCGGCCUCUUGAUUGAAUCAGAUCAUCUUACUACACAACAUAUGCCCAAGGAUGCUGGUGAAACUUCGUACUUUGAUCAUUCCAGUCAGAAUCUUUCGACACUUCUUGAUGACAAAAUCAAUGGAAUCACUAAUUUGAGACUCCUUAAUUAUAGAGAAAUUGCACUCUGUUCCCUCUUUUUGGCCAACUUUGCUUGUAUUAGCUUAUCCAAGAUGGGAGGCUCCAGAGGAAUUGGGUCGAGACAACGUUCUGAA
rnacentral:misc_RNA from 1 species